UACGGGGGGAGCAAGCGUUGUUCGGAUUUACUGGGCGUAAAGCGCGCGCAGGCGGCCUUUUAAGUCUCGUGGUGAAAUGCCGGGGCUCAACCCCGUGCCCGCCGGAGAUACUGGGAGGCUGGAGACAUGUAGAGGCAAGCGGAAUUCCGGGUGUAGCGGUGGAAUGCGUAGAGAUCCGGAAGAACACCGGAGGCGAAGGCGGCUUGCUGGGCAUUGUCUGACGCUGAGGCGCGAAAGCGUGGGGAGCGAACAGG
rnacentral:rRNA from 1 species